CUAGAACUGAAAAGCCAUCAUGCAGUGCUGUUCCCCAAUUCAAAACACAAGUUCGAAUCAUCUUAGGCUCAAACUGAGAACUGGCAUUAGUCCAGUUAAAUUAAUCUGCAAGUUGCUCCGAAGUGGGGAAGCGGGGCAGGAUGGCUUACAUCUUAAAUGGACAAGUGUUGGACAGCAGAGUCCAUCUCCCUGGAGUUUAUCUUUGAUAACAGAUUUCUUCUGAAGAAUAGCCAAGUUUGUGAUUUUGUUUUUCAAAACUCUACUUCAGCAACAUGUGAAGAAAAGAAGAGGCUAUGGAAACACAUCUGAUUCCAGAUAUGAUCAUGGAAGACAGCCACCAGGAAACCCUCUGGGGAAAACAGGUCAAAUCAAUCAUCUGCAUCUCCCCAGUCCUCCCCCAAAGGCUGGUGGAUGAGGAAGGUAAAUAUCUACUCUAAGAAAUAGACAACUGGACAUGCACAUUCACAGUAGAGAGAAACCACCAAGGAGCGGAGGGCUGACCAUGCUGGACAAGUAGAUGAAUGCAUACAUCUAAACAAGGAUUGCUCUGGGUCUUCACAGAUUAAUGAGAUCAUGCUGGGAAUUCCCUUUGCAGGGAACUGGCUAACUGGCAUGCAGUUCUAUAAAUGCACAUCUGUCUCAUUAUCUUUUUUAAUAUACUUUACUGAAGUAUUCAUAUAGUUCUAAUAAGUAAAUAUUUUUAGCUUGCAA
rnacentral:lncRNA from 1 species